rnacentral:rRNA from 1 species
GACGAACGCUGGCGGCGUGCUUAACACAUGCAAGUCGAACGGAAAGGCCCUGCUUUUGUGGGGUGCUCGAGUGGCGAACGGGUGAGUAACACGUGAGUAACCUGCCCUUGACUUUGGGAUAACUUCAGGAAACUGGGGCUAAUACCGGAUAGGAGCUCCUGCUGCAUGGUGGGGGUUGGAAAGUUUCGGCGGUUGGGGAUGGACUCGCGGCUUAUCAGCUUGUUGGUGGGGUAGUGGCUUACCAAGGCUUUGACGGGUAGCCGGCCUGAGAGGGUGACCGGCCACAUUGGGACUGAGAUACGGCCCAGACUCCUACGGGAGGCAGCAGUGGGGAAUAUUGCACAAUGGGCGGAAGCCUGAUGAAGAAACGCCGCGUGCGGGAUGACGGCCUUCGGGUUGUAAACCGCUUUCGCCUGUGACGAAGCGUGAGUGACGGUAAUGGGUAAAGAAGCACCGGCUAACUACGUG